AGAGAGGAACAUGUUUCCUUGGGGCGAGGCCCCGUCUCUUCACCCUGUGCCUAUCUACCCUUGUUGCUUUGGCGUGCUGGGGGUUACACCCCUAUCUGUCGGUAGCUGGUCUUAAAGGAACGCUCCGGCGGAUCGUGCUCGUCAGAAGCCCGUUAAAUUCUAUCUAUCAGUGUUGUCCGAGCAAAAAAAACAUCAAUAGUUAAAAACUUUCAACAACGGAUCUCUUGGUUCU
rnacentral:misc_RNA from 1 species